ACAACUCACCUGCCGAAUCAACCAGCCCUGAAAAUGGAUGGCGCUCAAGCGUCGCACCCACACCCGGCCGUCGGGCCAAGCUGGCUGGCCCGACGUGUAGGAGGGCGCAGCGGUGGUGUUGCAGCCUAAGGCGUGAGCCUGGGUCGAACCGCCGUUGGUGCAGAUCUUGGUGGUAGUAGCAAAUAUUCAAACGAGAACUUUGAAGACUGAAGUGGAGAAAGGUUCCAUGUGAACAGCAGUUGGACAUGGGUGAGUCGGUCCUAAGGGACGGGUUAACUCCUAGCAAGUGCGCACUCCCGGCUCGCCGGGAAGGCGCCCCCUCCCGAAAGGGAAUCGGAUUAAUAUUCCCGAACCGGAACGUGGAUAGGGCCGGCGAUCCCCGCGGUCACCGGCCAUGGCGGUAACGCAAGCGAACUCGGAGACGCUGGCGGGGGCUCUGGGAAGAGUUCUCUUUUCUUCUUGACGGGCCGACCCCCUGGAAUGGGAUUGCCCCGAGAUAGGGUUCUGUGCUCGGCAAAGCACUGCACCUCUUGCAGUGUCCGGUGCGCUCCCGACAGUCCUUGAAAAUCCGAGGGAGUGGAUGAUUCUCACGUCCGGCCGUACUCAUAACCGCAUCAGGUCUCCAAGGUA
rnacentral:rRNA from 1 species